AUUGAACGCUGGCGGCAUGCUUUACACAUGCAAGUCGAACGGCAGCGCGGGCUUCGGCCUGGCGGCGAGUGGCGAACGGGUGAGUAAUGCAUCGGAACGUGCCCAGUAGUGGGGGAUAGCCCGGCGAAAGCCGGAUUAAUACCGCAUACGACCUGAGGGUGAAAGCGGGGGACCGAAAGGCCUCGCGCUAUUGGCGCGGCCGAUGUCGGAUUAGCUAGUUGGUGGGGUAACGGCUUACCAAGGCGACGAUCCGUAGCUGGUCUGAGAGGACGACCAGCCACACUGGGACUGAGACACGGCCCAGACUCCUACGGGAGGCAGCAGUGGGGAAUUUUGGACAAUGGGGGCAACCCUGAUCCAGCCAUGCCGCGUGCGGGAAGAAGGCCUUCGGGUUGUAAACCGCUUUUGUUCGGGAAGAAAUCCUCUGGGCUAAUACCCCGGGGGGAUGACGGUACCGGAAGAAUAAGCACCGGCUAACUACGUG
rnacentral:rRNA from 1 species